UACGGAGGGUGCAAGCGUUAUCCGGAUUCACUGGGUUUAAAGGGUGCGUAGGUGGAUUAGUAAGUCAGUGGUGAAAUCUCCGGGCUUAACCCGGAAACUGCCAUUGAUACUAUAGGUCUUGAAUAUCCUGGAGGUGAGCGGAAUAUGUCAUGUAGCGGUGAAAUGCUUAGAUAUGACAUAGAACACCAAUUGCGAAGGCAGCUCACUACGGGAUUAUUGACACUGAGGCACGAAAGCGUGGGGAUCAAACAGG
rnacentral:rRNA from 1 species